rnacentral:rRNA from 1 species
UUCUAUUAGAUAAUAUUAAUAGUAAAAUCUGCUCAAUGAUUAUAAAUAGCCGCUAAUACUGUGCUAAGGUAGCAUAAUAAUUUGUCUUUUAAUUGAAGACUAGAACAAAAGAUUAAACAUUUUAAUUAAUAUAUUUAAAUUAAUAAAUUAAAUUUAUUUUAAAUGUAAAAAAACAUUUAUAUAUUAGGAAGACGAUAAGACCCUAUUAAACUUAACUUUAGUUUAACUGGGGCAGUUAAUUAAGUAUUAUUUUAAUUUUAAAAAUAAAAUAAAUAGAUCCUAUAAAAUAGAUCAAAUGAUCAAGUUACUAUAGGGAUAACAGCGUAAUAUUAAUUUAAAGACCUUAUUAAAAUAAAAGAUUACGACCUCGAUGUUGAAUUAAUAACCUAUAUUGUUGCAAUAAACAAUUUUUAAGGAAGUCUGUUCGACUUUAAAAAUAUUACA